UACGUAGGGGGCGAGCGUUGUCCGGAUUCAUUGGGCGUAAAGCGCGGGCAGGCGGCCCGCUCAGUCGGCCGUGAAAGCGCCGGGCUCAACUCGGCGCGGUCGGGCGAUACUGGCGGGCUGGAGGCUGGUAGAGGGCGGUGGAAUUCCGGGUGUAGUGGUGGAAUGCGUAGAGCUCCGGAGGAACACCAGUGGCGAAGGCGGCCGCCUGGGCCAGUCCUGACGCUGAGCCGCGAAAGCGUGGGGAGCGAUCCGGAUUAGAUACCCGGGUAGUCCACGCCGUAAACGAUGGGCACUAGGUGUCGGGGGUAUCGACCCCCCCGGUGCCGGCGCUAACGCAAUAAGUGCCCCGCCUGGGGAGUACGGCCGCAAGGCUAAA
rnacentral:rRNA from 1 species